GGAGCUGUGGGCAAAGCUAUGGUGAAGUAACACAUAAGGACGAUAUGAUGACGCCCAUAAGUGUGGGGAAAAAAACCAUUUAUUUAGUGUCGUUCUUUGAAGGCCUGCAGCGUAUUAUUUUAUUCACUGAAGAUCCAAGAGUGUUUAAAGUAACAUAUGAGAGUGAGAAGGCAGAGUUAGCGGAGCUGGAAGUUGUGCUGGCAUUGCAGGAUGUCGGGAUCUCACUUGUCAAUAACUAUACAAAGCAAGAAGUCGCUUACAUAGGCAUUACAAG
rnacentral:lncRNA from 1 species